GGACGGGUGAGUAAUGCUUGGGAAUAUGCCUUAUGGUGGGGGACAACAGUUGGAAACGACUGCUAAUACCGCAUGAUGUCUACGGACCAAAGUGGGGGACCUUCGGGCCUCACGCCAUAAGAUUAGCCCAAGUGGGAUUAGCUAGUUGGUGAGGUAAUGGCUCACCAAGGCGACGAUCCCUAGCUGGUUUGAGAGGAUGAUCAGCCACACUGGGACUGAGACACGGCCCAGACUCCUACGGGAGGCAGCAGUGGGGAAUAUUGCACAAUGGGCGCAAGCCUGAUGCAGCCAUGCCGCGUGUGUGAAGAAGGCCUUCGGGUUGUAAAGCACUUUCAGUAAGGAGGAAAGGUUAAGUGUUAAUAGCACUUAGCUGUGACGUUACUUACAGAAGAAGCACCGGCUAACUCCGUGCCAGCAGCCGCGGUAAUACGGAGGGUGCGAGCGUUAAUCGGAAUUACUGGGCGUAAAGCGUACGCAGGCGGUUUGUUAAGCGAGAUGUGAAAGCCCCGGGCUCAACCUGGGAACUGCAUUUCGAACUGGCAAACUAGAGUGUGAUAGAGGGUGGUAGAAUUUCAGGUGUAGCGGUGAAAUGCGUAGAGAUCUGAAGGAAUACCGAUGGC
rnacentral:rRNA from 1 species